GACGUACAUUUCGAGCUAAACCUCCCUUUCACCGUUAUAACUCCAAGCUCAAGAAACCUCUUUCCCAAGUAAAACCUAGUUCUCACAAUGGAUCCAUGUCCAUUUGUUCGUCUAAUCGUCGAAUCUCUCGCUCUAAAACUCCCUUUGGCCACCAAACCAGCCGGUUCUGGUGUCCACCCAUCAACGACACCUUGUUUCUGUAAAUUACGCAUCAAGAAUUUCCCUUCCCAAACCGCCCUCGUCCCUCUCUGUUCUCCUGCUAAUGACUAUCCUCCUGACACCUCCACCUCCGCCAACGGCUUCCACCUUGACGCUAACACCAUUCGCCGUCUCUCUGGUAAGCCAGUCACACUCCGUGUGGAAGUGUUCACUGGCCGGAUGGGACGCACCUGCGGGGUCAACGGCGGGAAGUUACUGGGUCAGGUCCAGGUCAGUGUGGAUUUGAGGAAUGUUCAAUCCAACCCAAGAGUGUUUCAAAAUGGAUGGUUAAAGCUGGGGAACCAGCCAGAUAAACCAGCGGCGCGACUCCAUCUAGUAGUCCGGGCUGAACCAGACCCACGAUUUGUUUUUCAGUUUGACGGCGAACCUGAGUGUAGCCCUGUGGUUUUUCAGAUACAAGGGAAUAUACGUCAACCCGUUUUCAGUUGCAAGUUCAGUGCAGACAGGAACUCAAGAACCCGAUCUCUUCCAUCAGAUUUCACUGUCGUCCACAAUAACAGGGGAUGGAGGAGAACCUUUUCUGGCGAGAAAGAGCAUGGAGGAAGGGAGCGAAAGGGAUGGAUGAUUAUGAUAUAUGAUCUCUCUGGUUCCCCAGUUGCUGUUGCCUCUAUGAUCACACCGUUUGUCCCAUCUCCAGGUACAGACCGUGUUUCUCGAUCAAACCCUGGUGCCUGGCUAAUUCUCCGCCCUCAUGGCUUCUCUGUCAGCAGUUGGAAACCAUGGGGCCGCCUAGAGGCAUGGAGAGAGAGAGGUCCUGUUGAUGGCCUUGGUUAUAAGUUUGAACUCGUAACUGACAAUGGUGGCCCUAGCAGAGGCAUCCCUAUUGCUGAAGCCACAAUGAAUAUGAAAAAAGGUGGCCAAUUUUGCAUUGAUAGUAGGAUAAUAAGGGAUUCUGGAUUGAGAUCAAGAUCACCCGUCAAAGGUUUUGUGAUGGGUUCAACCGUGGAAGGAGAAGGAAAGAUCAGCAAACCUGUGGUACAAGUAGGGGUACAGCAUGUCACUUGCAUGGCUGAUGCUGCCCUAUUUAUAGCUCUUUCAGCUGCUAUUGAUCUAAGCAUGGACGCUUGUCGCCUCUUCUCUCACAAGCUUAGAAAGGAGCUUUGCCAUGACGAGCAAGAUUCCUUCUCUUAGAGCUUUUAUAUCCUCUGCAGUGAUAACCAAACUGUUGGUUUGAGCAAAGAAAGACUAAAAUUUGCCUAUUCUUUCAUUUCCUGAAGAAAUUCUAUAAAAUUUUCUCAUGGUAGGAGCGUGGAUCUGAUCUGAUCUUAUCUGGUUUUUGGAAGUAGGCAGUUGGAAUUCACAAUUUCUUGUCGGUUUUGAUUGGUUUUUGUCGCAUACAUACAUUGUAUUUGUGGUAGAGGAGGGGUUCUAUUUAUUACAUAACUACACCCAACAGAUUGAAACUGUACAGAGACGAGAGAAAAAGGCAAUUGUUUGUUCAUAUUUCUUCCUCUUCUCUCCUUUUUUCGGUGUACCAUAUAUUUUCUCUGUAUAAUAACAGAGUUUUCGGAUUGUUAAACACUAUUAUAUCUGUCGUUAUAUAUGCAUACUUAUCA
rnacentral:misc_RNA from 1 species